GUGUCAGCAGCCGCGGUAAUACGUAGGGUGCAAGCGUUAAUCGGAAUUACUGGGCGUAAAGCGUGCGCAGGCGGCUUUGCAAGACAGAUGUGAAAUCCCCGGGCUCAACCUGGGAACGGCAUUUGUGACUGCAUGGCUGGAGUGCGGCAGAGGGGGAUGGAAUUCCGCGUGUAGCAGUGAAAUGCGUAGAUAUGCGGAGGAACACCGAUGGCGAAGGCAAUCCCCUGGGCCUGCACUGACGCUCAUGCACGAAAGCGUGGGGAGCAAACAGGAUUAGAAACCCUAGUAGUCC
rnacentral:rRNA from 1 species